rnacentral:rRNA from 1 species
AGAGUUUGAUCCUGGCUCAGGAUGAACGCUGGCGGCGUGCUUAACACAUGCAAGUCGAACGGACGCUUUGGGAAACUGAAGCGUGAGUGGCAAACGGGUGAGUAACGCGUGGGUGACCUGCCUCAGAGUGGGGAAUAACGGUCCGAAAGGAUCGCUAAUACCGCAUACGCUCGGUGAUUCGGUUCAUCGAGUAAAGCCGCGAGGCGCUUUGAGAGGGGCCCGCGUCCCAUCAGGUAGUUGGUGAGGUAAUGGCUCACCAAGCCGAUGACGGGUAGCUGGUCUGAGAGGACGAUCAGCCACAAUGGAACUGAGACACGGUCCAUACUCCUACGGGAGGCAGCAGUGAGGAAUAUUGGGCAAUGGGCGCAAGCCUGACCCAGCGACGCCGCGUGGGUGACGAAGGCCUUCGGGUCGUAAAACCCUUUUGUCAGGGACGAGUGAGGACGGUACCUGGCGAAUAA